rnacentral:rRNA from 1 species
CCAAUAGCGUAUAUUAAAGUUGUUGCAGUUAAAAAGCUCGUAGUUGAAUUUCGAGACCGGCUUAUUGGUCGUGCUUUUGUACGUACUGGUAUAAUCGGUUUCUCCUUUCUGACGAACUAUAAUGCCAUUAAUUUGGUGUUAUAGGGAAUCAGGACUGUUACUUUGAAAAAAUUAGAGUGUUUAAAGCAGGCUCACGCUUGAAUACAUUAGCAUGGAAUAACGGAAUAGGACGUUUGAUUCUAUUUUGUUGGUUUCUAGGAUCGACGUAAUGAUUAAUAGGGAUAGUUGGGGGCAUUAGUGUUCAAUUGUCAGAGGUGAAAUUCUUGGAUUUAUUGAAGACUAACUACUGCGAAAGCAUUUGCCAAGGAUGUUUUCAUUAAUCAAGAACGAAAGUUAGGGGAUCGAAGACGAUCAGAUACCGUCGUAGUCUUAACCAUAAACUAUGCCGACUAGGGAUCGGAUGAUGUUAAUUUUUUAAUGACUCAUUCGGCGCCUUACG